ensembl:lncRNA
UGAAAGAGGAGUUUGUGGGAGAAGAGACAACUAGAUCUGUAUAGAUUAGAUCAUGGUGGUCUCCAUAAAUAGACCGGUUGCUGAAGAGUGGAUGAUGGGGGGACCACAGCCAAACAUCAGGACAGAAGUCUGCAUGAGUCAGCAGCUACACACACCACAAAGGCUCUUUUAAGAGCCACAUCUUGAGAGCAUCUUUGGCUUUGUGCUUCUGGUGUGAGACGAUGGAGCUGUAUCACUAAUCAAUGUACACGUACGUUAAAUUGAAGUGCUAAAUUUGUAAAAUUAUACAUUUUAUAGUUUAAUUAAGAUACUCUCCCAGAUAAACCUACUGUGUUGCAGCUGUUGAGAGGACAAUUCUGGAGGCACUUAACGAACUGGACAUGAAGAUCAAUCAUCUGACUUCAGUGGUCCAGUCCCUUGCAGCUAACAGACGUUCCAGUGCUCCAGUGCUGCUGGUGGACAGCGAGGAUGAUGUCUUUCCUCACACAACCAUGGAGGAACUAGACAAAUUGGAAAGACAAUUAUCAGAAAAAGCAAUGAUGCAAAAGAUG